rnacentral:rRNA from 1 species
UACGAAGGGGGCUAGCGUUGCUCGGAAUCACUGGGCGUAAAGCGCACGUAGGCGGAUUGUUAAGUCAGGGGUGAAAUCCUGGAGCUCAACUCCAGAACUGCCUUUGAUACUGGCGAUCUUGAGUUCGGGAGAGGUGAGUGGAACUGCGAGUGUAGAGGUGAAAUUCGUAGAUAUUAGCUAGAACACCAGUGGCGAAGGCGGCCAACUGGUCCGACACUGACGCUGAGGUGCGAAAGCAUGGGUAGCGAACAGG